CACUUUUUUUUUUUUUUCUUUUUUUCAUUACGUUCCCAAAUCUUGCCAGUUCCUCCACAUUCAGUAAACGUGCGUUUCACUGAACCUGUCCAGGAAAGAGGGUCAUCUCUCAUGGUUGGAAAGAGUACUGUGUACGAGGGGGUGGAAACUGCAACUUGGGAUCAGCAAGCCACUCCCGGCUCGGCCUCAGUUUCCUCCUAAGCAGCCCGUCUAGCCCCUUCCAAAGCGUGCCCUCAAAGAUUCCAGGAAUUCUGUCCUUUCUGGCCGAAAACAACACUGAGGCUUUUCACAAAGCACUCCCACCCCCACCCCUCGCUCCCCUUGGAUCCACAGCCCGCGUCCCUGGAACCCGGGCUGCACUGCGCUGGUCACAUGAACUCCGGCUUUCUCUGGUGUGACGGCUCUCUCCGAUCCCUUUGUGAGCGCAGGUUUUGAAAGCCAACGACCGGGUCCUGGGUUUGAGACGCGCAGGCGGCCGCGGGC
rnacentral:lncRNA from 1 species